AUGGAACUCUCUCCUUUCUUUCUGUCUCUUCCCUGGCUCAGGCAAACCCAAUGGUUAUUUAGGCAAAACCCCCUGUAUAAACCCCCCUGCCAGCACAGAGCUGCCAAAAUCCCAGCUGGGGUUGGACACCCUGGGAGUGUGAUUGGGCCCCCACCCCGCAGGGCAGGCCCGGAGCGGGGUGUGGGAGCAUUCCCCGUGUGGGAGCAUUCCCAGUGUGUCCUCAGGGUGUGGGAGCAUUCCCAGUGUGGGAGCAUUCCCCGUGCCCUCAGGGUGUGGGAGCAUUCCCUGUGCCCUCUAAACCCCAGACAAUGCAGGGAGGGCUGGCGGAACACAGGGAGGGAGGGUCCUCCUUCCCUGCAGAGCCAAACACGUCCACCUGCACCCAGACACGCUGGUGCCGCACCGAGCCCAGAAGCCCCUGAGCCCUCAGGGUACAUCCCCAGCUCAGAAACCGCAGGGUUAAGAAGUCGCCAGCUGCCCUCGGGCCCCAGCGAGGCACAGCUCCCUGGGGAUGGGAGAUGCUGUGCCGGUAGCUCAGCACAGCCGAGGGGCCUGGCUGCUGCUGGGACAUUGACUGAGGUGAGCACGGCUCGGGAACGGCCUCUCCUGGCCUGGUGGCCCCAGCCCUGA
rnacentral:lncRNA from 1 species